UAGGGGGGCAAAUCCGCCGAAUUUAAGCAUAUAAUUAAGCGGAAGAAAAGAAAAUAACUAUGAUUCUUUAAGUAACGGCGAGUGAACAAGGAUAAGCUCAAAAAAGAAAAUCCAACAUAGCAGAAUAAGAAGUUAUGUGACGGAAUUGUUUUGUUUAAAAAAUAUUGCCAAUACAAAAAACACGCAAGUGUAGAUAAUAAAAAACGAAGUAAGUAGGAAUGCUUUCCCUUAGAGGGUGAAAGGCCCGUAGUUUUUAUAUUAUUUUGUAAAGUUUUGCAAUAUUAUCUAAUGGAGUCGUGUUCUUUGAGAUUGGAGCACUAAUGCGUGUGAUACAUUUCACAUAAAGCUAAAUAUGUGUAGGAGACCGAUAGCGAACAAGUACCGUGAGGGAAAGAUGAAAUAGGACUCAGGAAUGAGAAUUAAAUAUGACCUGAAAUCGUUAAGAUGGAACGGAUUGAGAAAGAAAAAAGUAUGAUUUGUAGAGAUUAUGUCUUAUGAUAGAUAUGACUUAGCAAAUUAUGUUAUAAAAGAAACAUCAGUGAAAAUUAGGAUAUUUCUGUUGAAUAAUAAAUAUAAUUGAUGUAAUUUGGAUAUAAUUUUUUUCCAUAUUGUGUCAUAUUUAUUUCAUAACUAAUGAUGAAAGAAAUCGUUUUUCAAAUAGAUGUUAAUAUUAUAAAUAUCUUAUUAAAAAAAGUAUAUCUUAUUUACUGAGGAAUAAAAAUGUGUUUAUAAAUAUGUAAAUGCAUUUUGUGUUGUUUCUAUUGAGUACUUUCUUAAACCACUCGUCUUGAAACACGGACCAAGGAGUCUAUCAAACAUGUAAGUGUAAUUGACAUUUUAAACAAUAUAAAUAAUAUACGCCUAAUUAAGGUAAGAGAAAAACAAUUAAGUUCGUGUAGAUUUCGAAGGUAUCGAAUUGGAUGACUUAGAAUGUAUACCGUACCGAUGAGCAAUGUAUGCUUAUGUUGAGUAUUAGCAUGUUUGAUAGGACCCGAGAGGCUUUGAACUAAGCGUGACGAGAUCGAAGUCAGACGAAAGUCUGAUGGAAGAUUGAAUUGAUACUGACGUGCAAAUCGUUCUUUUCAGUCACGUUUAGGGGCGAAAGACUAAUCGAAAAGCCUAUUAGCUGGUUAUUUUCGAAAGAUCUCUCAGGAUCGCUGGAGUUGAGUAAUAUAAUUGUACCAGGUAGAGAUAAUGAUUAGAGGAAUCAGGGAAAUAAUUUUCUUGACCUAUUCUCAAACUUUCAAUAGGUAACAAGAGUAAAAUAGCUUUAUUGUAUUUUGCUCAAAUGUAAUGAUAAAUAAAAUAACUCCAAGUGGGCCAUUUUUGGUAAGCAGAACUGGCGAUGAGGGAUGAUCCUAACGCUUGGAUAAGGUGCCUAAAUAUUUGCUAAUUAGAUACCAUAAUAGGUGUUGGUUUAUAAUGACAGUAGGACGGUAAUCUGGGAAGUAGAAAACCGCUAAGGAAUGUGUAGCAACUCACCUACCGAAUUAACUAGCCCUGAAAAUGGAUGGCGCUAAAGCGAAUUACCGAUACCGAGCCAUAAAAAGGAUAUAAUUAUAGAUGAGCAUGUUGUCUAUCUAAAAUCUUUUUAUGAGUAGAAAAUCGUGGAGUUUGUGUAAAAGCGAGAUACGCGAGUUCUCGUGGAACAUUUCUCUAGUGCAGAUCUUGGUGGAAGUAGCAAUUAUUCAAAUGAGAACUUUGAAGACUGAAGUGGAGAAGGGUUUCUUGCCAACUGUGAUUGUUCAAGAGUUAGCCGCUCCUAAGGGAAAACUGAAAAGUUAUAAUAUGGGGCAUGUAUAGAACUGCAUCAUAUUGAUACAUAAUGUACAUCCUCUUUCUCAAAAGGGAAACAGGUUAAUAUUCCUGUGCCGUUAAUAUAACUGAGUAAUAAUAAUGAUGGUAACAUAUAUACAAAUGAACUUCUUAACGUUGGCCUUACACACGGGGUGCGUUUUCUUUGCACUUAGCCUUUAUAGCAAGCCUUGGAAUCAAUUUACUUGGAGAAGGGGCUCGCCGAAUCAAUGCAGAAGGGUUAUCGAUUGUUACUUUUCGUUACAGUCUUUAAUUUCGCUGUAUUGUAGUCAUAGUAAUUUGUUUAUAUGAAUUAUCCGCAGAUGUAAGGACUGCCCAUGAAAAAAGGAGGGAACAGCAAAUGGAAUAAGGGUUAUAAUUAGAAGCAUCUGAUUAUUAUUCUGUUUUAUUUGUAUACUCUGUAUAUUUGUAAGAGCGUACCAACAACCGCAUCAGGUCUCCUAGGUAAGUAACCUCUGGUUAAAUAGAAAAAAGUAAGUAAGGGAAGUCGGCAAAAUAGAUCCGUAACUUCGGGAAAAGGAUUGGCUCUGAGACAUUGGAGAAAAGAAGAAUUAAAGAGAUUGUGGCUAUACAACAUGGAUGUAUUGAUAUUAUUUUAAAGGCUUUUUUGGGUUUUUGAAAUGUAUCAUUACUGAAAAGUUUUGGCCUUCACUUUAUAUUCUAUAACCUCUUUUCACCAUCAUACGCAUAAUAGUAAUUGCGCUAUAUGUAAAUAUGAUAAUUGUAAUGUUAACUCAGAACUGAAACGGACAAGGGGAAUCCGACUGUUUAAUUAAAACUUAGCUUUGUGAUAAGCC
rnacentral:rRNA from 1 species